UUCUGAAUAAAAACAUGAUCACUUUGUAUUCGGGCCUAAAAAAAAAAAAGAUAUGUGUUUCCGGUAACAUCAUUUUGAAAAAUAGGGUCGGUAGGUCGGAAUUCUUUUUUUUUUUUUUUUUUUUUUUUUUUUGACAUCGUAAAUGAAAUCCGGAAAAUUAUCAUGGUUUUUCCAAGUCCGGAUCCGUAAUUAGUUUCAAAAACCGGAAGUGUGCCAUUUGCAAUAUUUUUGAAGCACCUGCUGUGCAAAUUUCUUGGAUUUUAACCUAUUUGGAAUACCUUUUGACAUUAAUAAAAUGUUUUACUGGCUUUCUAUGCAAGUAGAAGCAAGAGAGAAAAAAUAUUAUGUCAUCUAUCAGAAGCCUGUGUCAAAAACGGGGUCGGUUGAUACAAUUUUUUUUUUUUUUUUUUUGAAGAUCCAAUAAAAAAGUUAGGGUCGGGGCUAAAAAACAGGGUCGGUCGGGUUACCGAAAACAUCGAUCUUUUUUUUCUCGGCCUCAUCAGAAGUAACUGAAUUCUCUGGGGCAUAAGUUACAUCAGAAUAUAUACCAGCAUCUUCUAAGGAAGAUCAAAUAAGGUUGAUCCGACUAAAAACUACACUUACAAAAAUUUACAUUGAAAAAAUCAAAACAGCAUGAUAUUCUGUGGUAACAUUUUUGCCAUCUUUAAAUUUUCUAAUGUUUAUAUCUCAUAAAUUAAUAGAGAAGAAAAAUCUAAAUAAUCCACACAAAAUAAGGGAUUGAUUAAUUGAUUGAUUGGUAUUUUAAUGCCACUUCCAACUGUAUCUGUAUCAAUAUAAAUUCUGCCAAUGUAGGCACACCUCCAAAGGAGUUGAAUAUGUAAUCCUCCACCACACAAUGUUAUAAUACACAAUGAAUGUCAAAUCCAAUUACGGAUACACAGUAAAAUAUCGGUAAAAAGUGACUUUUCUGUAAUGCCACCGUUAUGUACAUUUAAUAUAUAAUUUGACAAUAAAAAGAUAAAAAUUUAUCUUUAAUUUUGAUCUGUAUGCACCCAUAUAUACUAACCAAAAUUUAUUAAGGUUUAUUUAACUGUCUAUUUGAUUUGAUUGCGAC
rnacentral:lncRNA from 1 species